UAGGGAAUUUUCGUCAAUGGGGGAAACCCUGAACGAGCAAUGCCGCGUGAGUGAAGAAGGUCUUCGGAUCGUAAAGCUCUGUUGUAAGAGAAAAACGGCCUUCAUAGGGAAUGAUGGAGGAGUGAUGGUAUCUUACCAGAAAGCCACGGCUAACUACGUGCCAGCAGCCGCGGUAAUACGUAGGUGGCGAGCGUUAUCCGGAAUGAUUGGGCGUAAAGGGUGCGUAGGUGGCACGAUAAGUCUGGAGUAAAAGGGAGCGGCUCAACCGCUGUUGGCUCUGGAAACUGUCGAGCUAGAGAGCAGGAGAGGGCGACGGAAUUCCAUGUGUAGCGGUAAAAUGCGUAGAUAUAUGGAGGAACACCGGUGGCGAAGGCGGUCGCCUGGCCUGCAACUGACACUGAAGCACGAAAGCGUGGGGAGCAAAUAGGAUUAGAUACCCUAGUAGUCCACGCCGUAAACGAUGAGGACUAAGUGUUGGGGAAACUCAGUGCUGCAGUUAACGCAAUAAGUCCUCCGCCUGGGGAGUAUGCACGCAAGUGUGAAACUCAAAGGAAUUGACGGGGGCCCGCACAAGCGGUGGAGUAUGUGGUUUAAUUCGAAGCAACGCGAAGAACCUUACCAGGUCUUGACAUCCCUUGCGAGUCUAUGGAGACAUAGAGGAGGUUACCAAGGAGACAGGUGGUGCAUGGUUGUCGUCAGCUCGUGUCGUGAGAUGUUGGGUUAAGUCCCGCAACGAGCGCAACCCUUGUCGCAUGUUACCAAUAUCAAGUUAGGGACUCAUGCGAGACUGCCGGUGACAAACCGGAGGAAGGUGGGGAUGACGUCAAAUCAUCAUGCCCCUUAUGACCUGGGCUACACACGUACUACAAUGGCGGCUACAAAGAGCAGCGACACUGUGAGGUGAAGCGAAUCUCGGAAAGGCCGUCCCAGUUCGGAUUGAAGUCUGCAACUCGACUUCAUGAAGUUGGAAUCGCUAGUAAUCGCGAAUCAGCAUGUCGCGGUGAAUACGUUCUC
rnacentral:rRNA from 2 species